GAUGAACGCUAGCGGCAGGCCUAACACAUGCAAGUCGAGGGGUAGAACACUUCGGUGUUUGAGACCGGCGCACGGGUGCGUAACGCGUAUGCAAUCUACCUUGUACAGGGGAAUAGCCCAGAGAAAUUUGGAUUAAUGCCCCAUAGUAUAUAACCUUCGCAUGUUGGUCAUAUUAAGGUUCCAACGGUACAAGAUGAGCAUGCGUCCCAUUAGUUAGUUGGUAAGGUAACGGCUUACCAAGACGAUGAUGGGUAGGGGUCCUGAGAGGGAGAUCCCCAACACUGGUACUGAGACACGGACCAGACUCCUACGGGGGGCAGCAGUGAGGAAUAUUGGUCAAGGGGCCCAAGCCUGAACCAGCCAUGCCGCGUGCAGGAAGACGGUCCUAUGGAUUGUAAACUGCUUUUAUACAGGAAGAAACCCUCCCACGUGUGGGAGAUUGACGGUACUGUAGGAAUAAGGAUCGGUUAACUCCGUGCCAGCCGCCGCUGUAAAAC
rnacentral:rRNA from 1 species